GAUUUCAACUGAAAAAAUCAUCAAUAACAAAGUGGUAUAACUCAUCGAGAUCUAUAACUUUUAUUUGGGUCAUUUCUUCAUCCGAUAAAGUGAUUUGUAACAUUGUUCACAAAAAUGUAUAUAUCUCUUGUAUAGUUUACAAACUAUUGAAGAGAUAUGUAAAUUUUAUGAACAAUGUUACUAUUACUUUGUCGGAUGAAGAAAUGACUAAAAUAAAAAUUAUAGAUAUUGAUGAGUUAUACAAUUUUGUUGUUGAUGACUUUUUCAGUUGAAAUC
rnacentral:pre_miRNA from 2 species